GACGAACGCUGGCGGCGUGCCUAAUACAUGCAAGUUGAGCGCUGAAGGUUGGUACUUGUACCAACUGGAUGAGCAGCGAACGGGUGAGUAACGCGUGGGGAAUCUGCCUUUGAGCGGGGGACAACAUUUGGAAACGAAUGCUAAUACCGCAUAAAAACUUUAAACACAAGUUUUAAGUUUGAAAGAUGCAAUUGCAUCACUAAAAGAUGAUCCCGCGUUGUAUUAGCUAGUUGGUGAGGUAAAGGCUCACCAAGGCGAUGAUACAUAGCCGACCUGAGAGGGUGAUCGGCCACAUUGGGACUGAGACACGGCCCAAACUCCUACGGGAGGCAGCAGUAGGGAAUCUUCGGCAAUGGACGAAAGUCUGACCGAGCAACGCCGCGUGAGUGAAGAAGGUUUUCGGAUCGUAAAACUCUGUUGGUAGAGAAGAACGUUGGUGAGAGUGGAAAGCUCAUCAAGUGACGGUAACUACCCAGAAAGGGACGGCUAACUACGUG
rnacentral:rRNA from 1 species